UAAAAUAUAUAUAUAUUUUUUUUAUUGUAUUUUAUUUAUUUAUUUUAUUUUUUUUCCCUCUGUACUAUGUACAGACUAUUAAUGUGUUUUUCGAAUGUUGACUGCUAAUGUCAUACAUUAACGGCCACAUCAUGCUGUCCUUUGAGCUACCUAUAUCUUUGCUGCUGUAACACCGAGAAUUUCCCCAUGGUGGGAUCAAUAAAGGUCUUCUUAUCUUAUCUUUAUACAUUUUAAUCGUUCGAUUGCUGACACCCCCGCAGUAGUCAAAGUGGAGUGAAAACAUCCACCACCGUUAAUGGCAGUCAAUGAGUAUAUUACUUGUUUAAACAUGGUUUAGCAUCUAAUUGAAAGCGAAAAGUUAAGUUUUGCUAUUUUAUUUUAUUUUGGCGUCAAGAGGUUGAGGAACUUACCUUCGUCUUUGAGGUAACAUUUUUAAGAGCCGCCAAGUGUUUGCCGCACAUGCGAUAAUUCCACUAUUCGCAUCCAGCGGCAAUGGGGAAAAAAAUAUUUUUAAAUUCAGUCUGGAGGGUUGCAGUUUAGCAAUAGCGUCAAUCGAUGUGACGCAAAAAUGACAUAUGAAGAUGAACAAGAGCGUGCGGGAACGUCAAACACUCACAAUGAGAGGCUAGAGUGGUCUUUCAAACAAACAACGUACAAUUGUAACCUGAAAGGAAACUACAAGCGUUUGGGUUAAUUUUCUGCACUCUUUCAUGGGCACUUCCUUUCAAGGAAGAGAAAACGGUAUAUCUUGUGCACACGGAAAGGUUUUUCUCCCCCAGUUGAAAGUACCAACGAAGUUAAAACACCGGUUUUAAGUUUUGUUUUAUAUUAAUGGUCCUUUUAUUAAUUCAUAUUUUUAUAUUCUCUAUUUUACUGUGGGAAAUGUUUAUAUUGGCGUCAGUAGAAAAUAAAGGACAUUAAGAAACAAAAGGAAAACAUCCUUUCAACUGACGCAACUGCAGUGCAAUUCGAAACAAACACGACAAAUAUGCAUCGAUCGUGCUUCCACUCACCAAAAUAUUCCACAACGUCCCCUCGACUCUGGUUGGCUCCAUAGCCCAAAACGCCAGUUUGGAGCCAAAUUAAUUGUUUUUGUUGAUUUCAACGAAUUUUAUCAAAGCGCAAAUGUUCUCCUGGCCUCAGUGUCGCUUCCACGUCAAACGGCGACAAAAUGUUUGUCUUCAUCAGCAUGGCUAGUGAUUUCCUCAUAAAACAGUCUUCCGGGCGAGGGUGAUUAACCACAGGUUCAUGUGUGGACCUCUCGAGGGCGCACACGCUUUUAAGCUCCCUCUGCCCGUCAUCUCCGAUCUCCUCUGUCUCACUGGACUCGAGCGGUGAGAGGGUGGUCCCGCCCGCUGUCCACAGUAACUUGACCUUGGGGUGACCUCCUUUCAAGAGAAGGGAGAAGACACCCACUCCUUCACUGCUCCAACACACCGAAAUUGAGGAGGGUAUGCUUGGAGCGACUGAGUGUGGAACACAAAGUGCCAAAGUUAAUGGAAAAUUUUGAAUUUUGUGCAGUGAUAUGACUGUGAAAUUGUCCUUUAAAAAAGGGUGCCACAGGGGUCAGUUUCAGGACUGCAGUUAUUUUGUGUCAACAUUAUUUAUCUAAAAAAAAUGUUAUGACGCAUUACUGUUAAUAGAAGCAACAUUUCAGUACUCAGAUUGAAAUUUUUGGUUUCAUAAAUUAAAAUGUUUAAAAUUUUCAUGUGUAUUGAUUUAUUUAGAGGUGGGUAGAGUGUCCAAAAAUCUUUACUCAAGUAAAAGUAGCGUUUCUUCAAAAUAUUAUUACUCAAGUAAAAGUAGUCAUCCAAAAAAUGUGCUCAAGUACAAGUAAAAAAGUAUUCAUUCCAUUAGUAUUUUUUUUCUGUUAGCACAAACAUAUCUAUAUGAACUGUAGUUGUAAUGAUACCUUACAAUAACCCAUUACAGAAAUACAAAAAAAAAAAAAAAAAUCACUGAAUUCUGGCGAGAGGAAAAAAAAAAAAGACUGAAUUAUUGAAGCAUUAUUCGUCCAAAGCGCAUGAGUGUCCUUUAGUGGAGAAAACAGUUCCUAGUUUGAAUUGUGAAUAGUUCCUUCAUAGUUACUAUUAUAUUAAAAGGAUCUUAUCUCCGGUUUUCCAAAGUCAAUCGGUGCCAAAUAAAAACUGGGAGAGGUUAAAAUCCGCCAUUUUGAGUCAUGUUGAGGACAGAGCUUUAUGUCAAAUACUUCAUUUUUUACAGUGCUUUAAAGAUGCCACGUCACUGAACAGGCUGACGUGAUCAUAAAACGGUAAGCUUGCGUCAGAUUGGUGUAAUGGAGUCAUUUGAUUAUUGUUGCGACGUCUCAUUGUUGAAAUUGGUAGAGCUACUCUUGGCGUCGCUGGCCAAAAAAUAAUAAAUCUAAUAUGUGGAAUAAAGAGGAAAAAUGUAACGACUCUUGCGUAGCCCAAAGUAGUGGAGUAAGAGUAGCGUUUUUUUUUUCAUAAAUCUACUCAAGUAAAAGUAAAAAGUACGGCUUUGUAAAACAUCUCUCAGGAAUACAUUUUUCUCAAAACGUUAUUCAAGUAAAUGUAAUGGAGUAGAUGUCAUGCGUUUCUAACCACCUCUGGAUUUAAUAAAUUGUUGGCAAUCAGGGUGUCAUUGGAAAAACAGACCGUCCCUGAAUAAAUAAAAGUACAAAGAAAGGCAAGUCAGUCAUGCUUACCAAUGUCAACAUUUCUCCAAAGUCUCUCAAUAGGUUCUUGCAGGGAAAGGUGCUCAACCCUGCAUUUAAUCCCGCCCCCUCUCUGUCUUUUCUCCCGGUUGUGUGCCGUCUUCAAAGUGGCCGUGAUCCUGUAGAGUCUAGGGUGAAUCUCCAUGGGGCCCCACAGCUCUCCUCCAUCCAUCACUUCGUCUUCGCUGUCGUCUCGCUCGCCCCCUCUCACUUUCAGCCAGGUGACUGUAAUGUCGGGCUGCUUAAGGGCAAUGUGAUGGACGCUGACCCACACUUUGGUACCUCCCUGCUCCAGUUCAGUUCGGGGCAGUUUGCACUGACUGGAGGCUGUGAAGAAGCCCUCGGAAUUAGGUCGAGGGGAAGUUGAAGCUUGGGAUGCCACAGGGCUCAGCUCUCCACCCUGGCAGAACCAGCGGAAGGUGAUGACAUCCGGGUGGAAAUGGGAUGCCCGCACAGUCAUGCUGAUGACCUCUGGAAAUUUUGGAAAACAACAUUUUAUUUACAUUAUAGUUAAGUAAAUAUCAAUUCACCCAUUUACUUUAGUGCUUGGCUGCCAGCCAAUUUCAGGAGUUAAUCUGUAUUUGUUGAAAUGUCUGCCUCACCUGGGUCAUUUGGGGUCUCUGCCAACUGAAUUUCGGAUACCUCCGGUGCAGCUGAAUAGGUGAAGAGACAAAAGAAUUACUCUGACAGCCUUGCAUGAAGAAUGUGUUCAUUUUUUAAUUUCUUUAAUAGUAUUUUAAAGAAAUUCGCUCAAUAUUUUAGCCGUAUUUUGUUUUUUGUUUUACUAAAGGUGUCUUUCCCUGAAUCAAAUGUAAGAUAUGUUAAGAAUCAUUUUACAUUUUUUACAUCUGUUUGAUAUUACGAAAAUACAUUUUUGGUCUUGUUAGAAUACAUUAUUUUGUUGUUUUUUGAAAUGUGUUCAUAAUAUUCUAAUUUACAGUACGACUAGGCAUGUGCCGGUAUGAUAUUCUGACGGUAUGAUAGCCUUAAGCCAAAAUAUCAUGGUUUCACGGUAUUGCAAUUACAGCUCUAAAAUGUGUUACUUUGAGAUACCCACUUUUUUUUUCUUAAUAUUUUUCCAUUGAACAGGCUUUUUUUUUUUUUUUUUUUUUUGAACAGGAUUUUUAUUUUUCAAAACAUUAGCAAAUUCGAAAAUUCAAAAGUUUAAUGUUAAGUUAAAAUAAAAAUAAAAAAUAAAAUAAAAUCAAAAUUAAAUUAAAAUACAGUGCUCUGGGUGAGCCAAAAACAACAGCCACAGCUCAAUAUUAUUACCAUCAGAAUAAAAAUUGAUUCAUUGAAUUAUUUUCCAUAAAAAGCACGUGUGUAUGACUCUUAUCAUGUUUACAUUAUUAACGCCACAUGUUUUACCACAGCUAGACACAUUAAACAUGCUCUAUCUCGUAGCUGGUGGGAAACGUUCAUGACAGUGUUUACUAACCUUUAAUUUUGUAUAAAUGCAAAAUCAUAUUGGAGGUAUUGCUUCCUCGGCAGCCACCUUCCGCAGACAUGUUUUACAUGUCGGUUGGCUGUCCUCCUGUAACUUUCUGUAGCCGAAGUAUUCCCAUACCAGCGAUUUGUUUUCUUUAAUGGGGGAAAAAGUUCAGGAGUUUCACCUCUUCCAGCUAUCGUGUAGCGUAGCUGACUCACUGACACUGAGCAACAACCAGUGGGGGAGGGUUGAGCCUUGCAGCUGCAAGCGAGGGAUUUCUACCUUUAUUAUUGGGACAUAAAAAAGCUAAUACCUUGGGGAAGAUAUGACAAAAAAUUUGCGGUUUUGAAACCUUGACGUUUUCAUAUCACGGUAUACCUUCAAACCAGUAAUCAGCACAUGUCUAAGUACGACUUUGUUUUCACAAGAUUCUGACAAAACAUGGAGUUGUUCUGGUGCGUAUUUUAACUGUGUUUCAAAAUUUUUCAUGCCAUCACAAAUUUUCUUCUGUUUUUAGUGAUUAUGAC